rnacentral:lncRNA from 1 species
GCCAAAGUGGAUUGGCUGUGGUCUCGGUGUAGCACGAUGGAAUCUGGUGGCUUAAACCUAGCUGUCCACAUUUCACUAUCUGAAGAGCAGAAAAUGUGUUAAUAGGAGCCUGGUGAGUGGAGGAGACUGAAGAUGGAGAGAGAGCCUGGACCUCAACAUGAGCAUCUGGAGCCAUUUGGCAGCAUUAGGCUGUGACCGCUUAGAGAACCGAAAGAAAAGAGAAAACAUUUCCAUGGAAGAGGAAACAGGAAAUUCCAACAGAUCAGCAACAGUUGGAGUGCUAACCUGUCACUGGAAUGGGAAAAAAAAUGCUGUCGUUGACACAUCUUUUCCUUGUUUUUGACACAAAUUAGAAACACCACCUGGAACACAGCUGUGACUUGAUAAACAAGUGAAACAUUCUUUGGUGUGGUGAGGGGAAAACAAAUUUCUCAAAGGACACGCACCAUGGUGUAUGAGAGGACACUGGAGCCCAGCCAGCAUCUGACAUGCUGAAUUCAAAGUGCAGAAGACAGAGAUGAAGAAAAGAAGGAAGUGGAGGCAAUGAGGAAAGGAGGGAAGAAGGAAGGAAGGAAAUCAUGCUUGAAAGAAGUUGUGGAACAUGUCAAGUUUUUUUCCGGAUGUGGCGGAGAUUAUGCAGCUACAAUGAAGCCAGAUUAAGAUUUCAGGAAAAUGGACAGAUCUCUACAAUGUUCUCCAAAGAGAUUGUUUUGCUUGCCAAUAAAAAGAGACACCUGGGAGCACCAUACUCUCUCCUGUUCCUCUGGGUAUCAUAUUUCCUUAUGACACCUGAAACUCUGAUGCCUUCUGGGUCCAUGAAAGCAGUGAGAUGAGCACAGGAAACCACGCUGAGGAUGGUUGAGCAAAAAGGUGACAUUGAGCCACUGGAUUAACCUGCCCAGAAACAGGAUAUCUUCAGAUUUCUUGUUAAGUAAGAAAAUGUAAUUUUGUUGAUUCUAAGUUACACUUUCUUUUGUUAGUUCAACAUCUCUGAAAUCAGAACAUAUUUUGCCAUGGUAAUAUCUUACCAUCACUGUAAUAUGUAAUAUCCUUACAUAGGUGUCAUUGCCUAUGCAUGUGUCAACUUGAUUGCUAUUCUCUGUGAUAUGACUGACAACUGCAGCCCUUUGACAGUUCAGUCGACAAACCAUUGAAGAUUAUUAGGGUAAGAAAUACUGCUUUCUGUCUGAAAACUUUCCAAUGACAUCUUCUGAAAAGACAAAGAAAGUAUCAGCAUCAAAAUUUGCGUAAUAGGCCGGGCGCGGUGGCUCACGCCUGUAAUCCCAGCACUUUGGGAGGCCGAGGCGGGCGGAUCACGAGGUCAGGAGAUCGAGACCAU